GGGUUGUGAGGUUAAGCGACUAAGCGUACACGGUGGAUGCCCUGGCAGUCAGAGGCGAUGAAGGACGUGCUAAUCUGCGAAAAGCGCCGGCGAGGUGAUAUGAACCUUUGACCCGGCGAUGUCCGAAUGGGGAAACCCAGUGCAAUUCGUUGCACUAUCGUUAACUGAAUACAUAGGUUAACGAGGCGAACCGGGGGAACUGAAACAUCUAAGUACCCCGAGGAAAAGAAAUCAACCGAGAUUCCCCCAGUAGCGGCGAGCGAACGGGGAGCAGCCCAGAGUCUGAAUCAGCUUAUGUGUUAGUGGAAGCGUCUGGAAAGUCGCACGGUACAGGGUGACAGUCCCGUACACGAAAGCACACAGGUUGUGAACUCGAAGAGUAGGGCGGGACACGUGGUAUCCUGUCUGAAUAUGGGGGGACCAUCCUCCAAGGCUAAAUACUCCUGACUGACCGAUAGUGAACCAGUACCGUGAGGGAAAGGCGAAAAGAACCCCGGCGAGGGGAGUGAAAAAGAACCUGAAACCGUGUACGUACAAGCAGUGGGAGCACCUUCGUGGUGUGACUGCGUACCUUUUGUAUAAUGGGUCAGCGACUUAUAUUCUGUAGCAAGGUUAACCGUAUAGGGGAGCCGAAGGGAAACCGAGUCUUAACUGGGCGUUAAGUUGCAGGGUAUAGACCCGAAACCCGGUGAUCUAGCCAUGGGCAGGUUGAAGGUUGGGUAACACUAACUGGAGGACCGAACCGACUAAUGUUGAAAAAUUAGCGGAUGACUUGUGGCUGGGGGUGAAAGGCCAAUCAAACCGGGAGAUAGCUGGUUCUCCCCGAAAGCUAUUUAGGUAGCGCCUCGUGAACUCAUCUUCGGGGGUAGAGCACUGUUUCGGCUAGGGGGCCAUCCCGGCUUACCAACCCGAUGCAAACUACGAAUACCGAAGAAUGUUAUCACGGGAGACACACGGCGGGUGCUAACGUCCGUCGUGAAGAGGGAAACAACCCAGACCGCCAGCUAAGGUCCCAAAGUCAUGGUUAAGUGGGAAACGAUGUGGGAAGGCACAGACAGCCAGGAUGUUGGCUUAGAAGCAGCCAUCAUUUAAAGAAAGCGUAAUAGCUCACUGGUCGAGUCGGCCUGCGCGGAAGAUGUAACGGGGCUAAACCAUGCACCGAAGCUGCGGCAGCGACGCUUAUGCGUUGUUGGGUAGGGGAGCGUUCUGUAAGCCGUUGAAGGUGUCCUGUGAGGGGGGCUGGAGGUAUCAGAAGUGCGAAUGCUGACAUAAGUAACGAUAAAGCGGGUGAAAAGCCCGCUCGCCGGAAGACCAAGGGUUCCUGUCCAACGUUAAUCGGGGCAGGGUGAGUCGACCCCUAAGGCGAGGCCGAAAGGCGUAGUCGAUGGGAAACAGGUUAAUAUUCCUGUACUUGGUGUUACUGCGAAGGGGGGACGGAGAAGGCUAUGUUAGCCGGGCGACGGUUGUCCCGGUUUAAGCAUGUAGGCGGAGGUUCCAGGUAAAUCCGGUACCUUUUAACGCUGAGGUGUGAUGACGAGGCACUACGGUGCUGAAGUAACAAAUGCCCUGCUUCCAGGAAAAGCCUCUAAGCAUCAGGUAACACGAAAUCGUACCCCAAACCGACACAGGUGGUCAGGUAGAGAAUACCAAGGCGCUUGAGAGAACUCGGGUGAAGGAACUAGGCAAAAUGGUGCCGUAACUUCGGGAGAAGGCACGCUGAUAUGUAGGUGAAGCCCCUGCGGGUGGAGCUGAAAUCAGUCGAAGAUACCAGCUGGCUGCAACUGUUUAUUAAAAACACAGCACUGUGCAAACACGAAAGUGGACGUAUACGGUGUGACGCCUGCCCGGUGCCGGAAGGUUAAUUGAUGGGGUUAGCGGCAACGCGAAGCUCUUGAUCGAAGCCCCGGUAAACGGCGGCCGUAACUAUAACGGUCCUAAGGUAGCGAAAUUCCUUGUCGGGUAAGUUCCGACCUGCACGAAUGGCGUAAUGAUGGCCAGGCUGUCUCCACCCGAGACUCAGUGAAAUUGAACUCGCUGUGAAGAUGCAGUGUACCCGCGGCAAGACGGAAAGACCCCGUGAACCUUUACUAUAGCUUGACACUGAACACUGGUCCUUGAUGUGUAGGAUAGGUGGGAGGCUUUGAAGCGUGGACGCCAGUCUGCGUGGAGCCAUCCUUGAAAUACCACCCUUUAAUGGCUGGUGUUCUAACGUAGACCCGUGAUCCGGGUUGCGGACAGUGUCUGGUGGGUAGUUUGACUGGGGCGGUCUCCUCCCAAAGAGUAACGGAGGAGCACGAAGGUUAGCUAAUCCUGGUCGGACAUCAGGAGGUUAGUGCAAUGGCAUAAGCUAGCUUGACUGCGAGAGUGACGGCUCGAGCAGGUGCGAAAGCAGGUCAUAGUGAUCCGGUGGUUCUGAAUGGAAGGGCCAUCGCUCAACGGAUAAAAGGUACUCCGGGGAUAACAGGCUGAUACCGCCCAAGAGUUCAUAUCGACGGCGGUGUUUGGCACCUCGAUGUCGGCUCAUCACAUCCUGGGGCUGAAGUAGGUCCCAAGGGUAUGGCUGUUCGCCAUUUAAAGUGGUACGCGAGCUGGGUUUAGAACGUCGUGAGACAGUUCGGUCCCUAUCUGCCGUGGGCGCUGGAGAAUUGAGGGGGGCUGCUCCUAGUACGAGAGGACCGGAGUGGACGCAUCACUGGUGUUCGGGUUGUCAUGCCAAUGGCACUGCCCGGUAGCUAAAUGCGGAAAAGAUAAGUGCUGAAAGCAUCUAAGCACGAAACUUGCCCCGAGAUGAGUUCUCCCUGACCCUUUAAGGGUCCUGAAGGAACGUUGAAGACGACGACGUUGAUAGGUCGGGUGUGUAAGCGCAGCGAUGCGUUGAGCUAACCGAUACUAAUGAACCGUGAGGCUUAACCUUACAACGCCGAAGCUGUU
rnacentral:rRNA from 1 species